AUAGUUUGAAUACGCGGGAUGGCGUAAACGUGUAUGACGCGGGUCAAAGUGAAGUAUCUGUUCUUAUCAGCUGAAUAUCUGAUACGGGUUAUAUUUGGAGCCAAGAUGUUAAACUUAUUUUGCAAGUUGGCAGACCUGCGCCGCGGGUCGGCCCGGUAUUGUACUAUCUUCGGGAUCGGCUCACGGGGA